UACGUAGGGUGCGAGCGUUAAUCGGAAUUACUGGGCGUAAAGCGUGCGCAGGCGGUUCGUUGUGUCGGUGGUGAAAUCCCCGGGCUUAACCUGGGAAUGGCCAUGGAAACUGGCGAACUGGAGUGUGGCAGAGGGGGGGUGGAAUUCCGCGUGUAGCAGUGAAAUGCGUAGAGAUGCGGAGGAACACCGAUGGCGAAGGCAGCCCCCCUGGGGCUAACACUGACGCUCAGGCACGAAAGCGUGGGGAGCAAACAGG
rnacentral:rRNA from 1 species